CAAAUGAUCAUGCAUGCUAUUGCAGUGAGGAAUUAAUUUCAGCAAGACAUUUAAAAAGGAGAAUCCUAAUGUGAAGGAUGUUUCAAAUAUAUCAAACAUGUUGAUGUCUUGAGAUUCAAAAAACAUAUAGGAAAAGAAAGGAACUACUUCAAGCUCAUGUAUGUAAAUAAAGUAAAACACGAAGUUGACACUGUAAGUCAGAAAUAAGUGAAAGACUGUAAUCGAUUUACGUAAUUCAUUGGAGUAUUACUUUUUGAAAAAACCUACAAAACAAAUUACAUUUACGUGAAUUGUUUUGGAGAUGAUGAUAAUUUUUUAUGUUAUUCGAAAACUAUUAACUAGCCAUAUAA